AGGAGCAGCUCCAGAUCAGGUGCUCUGUGAGGGUGGAGUGGAGCUGAAAGGCUACUGUGGCCAUCUUUUCCAUGGUAAUACUUCAUCUUUCUGGCAUUAAGGACGUGGAAAUAAUACCACAGGUUUGAGCUAUCUGGAAAAUGAAACCCUGGCUGCAGUUGAUGUUCUUCCUUUGUGUUUUCCUGAUCUGGCAUACAGAAGCAGAGUUCUUUACCUCCAUAGGUCAAAUGACAGACCUGAUUUAUGCAGAGAAGGACUUGAUGCAGUCUUUACAGGAAUAUAUCCAAGCAGAAGAGAAAAAGCUCUCUCAGAUUAAAAGCUGGGCUGAAAAAAUGGAUGUACUGACCAGCAAAUCAGCCUCUGAUCCAGAAGGGUAUCUGGCACACCCUGUAAAUGCAUAUAAGCUUGUGAAACGUUUGAAUACUGACUGGCUUGAAUUGGAAAACCUGGUUCUUCAGGAUACAACAAGUGGCUUUAUUGCAAAUCUUACAAUGCAGCGUCAGUUUUUUCCAACUGAAGAAGAUGAGACUGGAGCAGCAAAGGCUCUGAUGCGCCUGCAGGACACCUAUAAACUGGAUCCUGAAACCCUCUCUCGAGGGAAUUUGCCAGGAACAAAAUAUAGAUCCUUCCUGACAGUUGGUGAUUGCUUUGGUAUGGGGAAGACAGCCUACAAUGACGGGGACUAUUAUCACACUGUGCUCUGGAUGGAGCAGGCCUUAAAACAGCAUGAUGAGGGGGAGGAUACAACAGUCAGCAAAGUAGAGAUCCUAGAUUAUCUCAGCUAUGCUGUUUUCCAGUUUGGGGAUUUGCACAGAGCCGUGGAGCUCACCAGACGGCUGUUAUCCCUUGACAGCACUCAUGAGAGAGCAGGCAGUAAUCUGCGGUAUUUUGAGAAGCUGAUGGAGAAGGAAAGAGAGGAGAAGGAGAAAAAGUCAGUAAACAAGACUGUGACAACCACAGAAACCGUGGUGCAAAGUGGAGCCUAUGAGAGGCCUCUUGACUACUUGCCAGAGCGUGAUAUCUAUGAAGCGCUUUGCCGAGGUGAAGGGGUGAAAAUGACACCUCGAAGACAAAAAAGGCUGUUUUGUCGGUACCAUGAUGGAAACAGAAACCCUCAUCUGCUCAUAGCUCCCUUUAAAGAAGAAGAUGAAUGGGACAGUCCUCAUAUUGUGCGAUACUAUGAUGUCAUGUCUGAUGAUGAAAUAGAGAAAAUUAAACAACUAGCUAAGCCCAGACUGGCAAGAGCCACAGUACGUGAUCCCAAAACUGGUGUCCUUACAGUGGCUAGCUACAGAGUAUCCAAGAGCUCAUGGUUGGAAGAAAAUGAUGAUCCUGUUGUGGCCAAGGUGAAUCAGCGAAUGCAGCAGAUCACAGGGUUAACAGUGAAAACAGCUGAGCUCUUGCAGGUUGCCAACUAUGGAAUGGGAGGGCAGUAUGAGCCACACUUUGAUUUUUCUAGGAAAGAUGAGCCAGAUGCUUUCAAGCGGUUAGGGACUGGAAAUCGUGUGGCCACUUUUUUAAACUAUGUAAGUAUGAUCCUUUAUGUGUUCAGUCUUACUUUAGCAGCAUCUUUUUACAGUUUGUGCAGUUUUGUAGAGGUUUCCUGGUGUCUGGCAAUAGGGAUUUCUUUAUUCUUGCAAGAAUCAGGUGCUGUCCCAUUUGUAUUGAUAGAAUUUUGGUGGUAUUUAACCUCAGAACAGAAAAUUUGAAUGUAGGACCCAUCUUCUCGUUUUGGCCACUUUGCUAUGGAAUCUUCUACUUAAUUUGAUUCCAUGGGGGGAGAGAAGACUUUGGCUUAUUUCUUAGAGGAAAAUACUUGGGGUACUCAUGUGGUAUGCUUUUGGAGAACUUGACUAUCAGCCACUUAAUGUGAGACAGUCAUAUUUUUUCCCCCACGGUAGAAAAAAACACACAGCACGUGAUGACAGCAUGUGAUGUUGUGGUCUGUCGUCCUCUUCCUCAGCUGUGUGGCAAAGCCAGAGUUGCUCAGUUGCUCAUCACAGCUGCUGCUUCAACAAAUGGAGGGAGGCAGAGCUGAUAAACUUGGUGCAGCUAGGUUUCAAAUCUACAAGUGCAGAUUUGAAAGAUUCAUUAGUUGCAUGCAUUAUAUAGCCCAUAGACCAUGUACACUGGAAUCCUAAACAUAGCUGCCACUGGGAAUAAUGGCCUUGUUUCCACAGUAGUCUUCUGACACUAUCUUAUCUAUAAGCCUAUACCCACUAUAUUUUUAGGAUCACUUCAUUUUCUGUGUUUAAGAUCUGAGUGAUAUAACUUAAGUAUUUUGUCACAGAAUUUUAAAUUUGAUGGCUAACCUCAUAUUUUGAGAGUGAAAUACAGCUCAAAACGGAACCAGGAACACUUUCAACUUGGUAUGGCAGGAAGGGAUAUAAUCUUCAAAACAAGAAUUGGAUUAAGAUGGGUUGCUGUGAAAUAUUCUGCUGUAAAUAGAUUUUGAUUUUAAAUUGAGUCAAUCUUUAUUUUGUUUGCUUCUCAGAAUUUUGAAUGAGCUUUGAUUUAGAAGGAACAAUGCACAUCAUCUCUGCCAGUUGUACAUGGUCAAAGGCAAUUUGCCCUUGUUUGUCCAAUAUAGAACACAUAUCAUACAUAUACCAACACCUUUACUAAAAAGAGUAGUUGUGUGGCUAAGACAUGUAUAUUAACUUGUGAGGCUGCAUACACGUUUUCUAGUUGUAAGGGUCAAAAACCUGUGCAUCUGAUGCCCUUUUAUUGUACCAAGCAGGAGGACAACAAAGUGGUUACAACAUCUGCUUUAAACAGAAAUCCAAGUUACAGUAAGGAUUGCAAGAACUUGGGGAGUGUAUUAAUAGUAGUUUUUAAAUUUGGUGGGAGCUGAAUCUGACUGAAAUUUGUUUCUUUUAAUAAGAA